GUCUUUUUGAGUUAUAUAUAAAGUCUAACCUGCCCAUUGAAAUUAAUUUUAAAGGGCUGCGGUAUAUUGACCGUACAAAGGUAGCAUAAUCAUUAGUUUUUUAAUUGGAAACUUGUAUGAAUGGUUGAAUGAGAAAUUAACUUUUUUUUUAAAAAUAUUGAAUUUUACUUUUUAGUUAAAAGGCUAAAAUAAAUUUAAAAGACGAGAAGACCCUAUAGAGUUUAAUAAUAUAUUUAUAUUGUUGUAAAGGAUUUUUAAUAUUAUUAUAAAUAAAUUUAUUUUGUUGGGGUGAUAAUAAAAUUUAAUUAACUUUUAUUAAUUAUGAAUAUUGAUAUAUAAUUUUUAUUAUUGAUCCAAUUAUAUUGAUUAAAAAUUUAAAUUACCUUAGGGAUAACAGCGUAAUUUUUUUUUAAGUUCAUAUUAAUAAAAAACUUUGCGACCUCGAUGUUGGAUUAAAAUAAAAUUUUAGGUGCAGCAGCUUAAAUUUAAAGUCUGUUCGACUUUUAAAUUCUU
rnacentral:rRNA from 1 species